rnacentral:rRNA from 1 species
UGAGGAAUAUUGGUCAAUGGACGCAAGUCUGAACCAGCCAAGUAGCGUGCAGGAUGACGGCCCUAUGGGUUGUAAACUGCUUUUAUAUGGGGAUAAAGUGGGGAACGUGUUCCCUUUUGCAGGUACCAUAUGAAUAAGGACCGGCUAAUUCCGUGCCAGCAGCCGCGGUAAUACGGAAGGUUCGGGCGUUAUCCGGAUUUAUUGGGUUUAAAGGGAGCGUAGGCCGUUUGGUAAGCGUGUUGUGAAAUGUAGGAGCUCAACUUCUAGAUUGCAGCGCGAACUGUCAGACUUGAGUGCGCACAACGUAGGCGGAAUUCAUGGUGUAGCGGUGAAAUGCUUAGAUAUGACGAGGAACUCCGAUUGCGAAGGCAGCUGACGGGAGCGGCACUGACGCUUAAGCUCGAAGGUGCGGGUAUCAAACAGG